CCUACGGGAGGCAGCAGUGAGGAAUAUUGGUCAAUGGACGAGAGUCUGAACCAGCCAAGUAGCGUGAAGGAUGACUGCCCUAUGGGUUGUAAACUUCUUUUAUAAAGGAAUAAAACGAGGCACGUGUGCCUUUUUGCAUGUACUUUAUGAAUAAGGAUCGGCUAACUCCGUGCCAGCAGCCGCGGGAAUACGGAGGAUCCGAGCGUUAUCCGGAUUUACUGGGUUUAAAGGGAGCGUAGAUGGGUUGUUAAGUCAGUUGUGAAAGUUUGCGGCUCAACCGUAAAAUUGCAAUUGAUACUGGCAGUCGUGAGUACAGUUGAGGUAGGCGGAAUUCGUGGUGUAGCGGUGAAAUGCUUAGAUAUCACGAAGAACCCCGAUUGCGAAGGCAGCUUACUAAACUGUGACUGACAUUGAUGCUCGAAAGUGUGGGUAUCAAACAGGAUUAGAUACCCUUGUAGUC
rnacentral:rRNA from 1 species